GGAUUGAUGAUGAUUCCCAAUCAAACAUUCCUCAGAGAAGCUGAACAAAAUGAGUGAAUGCUCAGGACUGAGGUCC